UACGUAGGCAGCGAGCGUUGUUCGGAGUUACUGGGCGUAAAGCGUGCGUAGGCGGUUUGUAAGUUUGGUGUGAAAUCUCCCGGCUCCAACUGGGAGGGUACGCCGAAACUGCAAGGCUGGAGUGUGGGAGAGGUAGGCGGGAAUUCCUGGUGUAGCGGGUGAAAAUGCGUAGAUAUCAGGAGGAACACCGGUGGCGAAGGCGGGUCUCUGGGCCGAUACUGACGCUGAGGAGCGAAAGCGUGGGGAGCAACAGG
rnacentral:rRNA from 1 species